rnacentral:rRNA from 1 species
GACGAACGCUGGCGGCGUGCUUAACACAUGCAAGUCGAACGGAAAGGCCCCAGCUUGCUGGGGUGCUCGAGUGGCGAACGGGUGAGUAACACGUGGGUGAUCUGCCCUGCACUUUGGGAUAAGCCUGGGAAACUGGGUCUAAUACCGAAUAGGACCAACUUCUGCAUGGUUGUUGGUGGAAAGCUUUUGCGGUGUGGGAUGGGCCCGCGGCCUAUCAGUUUGUUGGUGGGGUAAUGGCCUACCAAGGCGACGACGGGUAGCCGGCCUGAGAGGGUGACCGGCCACACUGGGACUGAGACACGGCCCAGACUCCUACGGGAGGCAGCAGUGGGGAAUAUUGCACAAUGGGCGGAAGCCUGAUGCAGCGACGCCGCGUGAGGGAUGACGGCCUUCGGGUUGUAAACCUCUUUCGACAUCGACGAAGCCUUCGGGUGACGGUAGGUGUAGAAGAAGCACCGGCCAACUACGUGCCAGCCGCCGCUGUAAAAC